AUUGAACGCUGGCGGCAUGCCUUACACAUGCAAGUCGAACGGCAGCACGGGAGCAAUCCUGGUGGCGAGUGGCGAACGGGUGAGUAAAGUAUCGGAACGUGCCCAGUCGUGGGGGAUAACGUAGCGAAAGUUACGCUAAUACCGCAUACGAUCUAUGGAUGAAAGCGGGGGAUCGCAAGACCUCGCGCGAUUGGAGCGGCCGAUAUCAGAUUAGGUAGUUGGUGGGGUAAGGGCUCACCAAGCCGACGAUCUGUAGCUGGUCUGAGAGGACGACCAGCCACACUGGGGCUGAGACACGGCCCAGACUCCUACGGGAGGCAGCAGUGGGGAAUUUUGGAGAAUGGGCGAAAGCCUGAUCCAGCCAUGCCGCGUGCAGGAUGAAGGCCUUCGGGUUGUAAACUGCUUUUGUACGGAACGAAAAGGUUUGGCCUAAUAAGCUGAGCUCAUGACGGUACCGUAAGAAUAAGCACCGGCUAACUACGUGCCAGCAGCCGCGGUAA
rnacentral:rRNA from 1 species